rnacentral:rRNA from 1 species
AAGUUGUUGCAGUUAAAAAGCUCGUAGUUGGAUUUCUGUCAAGAACAAGCGGUCCGCUCCCUUGGAGUGUGUACUUGCGUCGUUUUUGACUUUCUCCUGAACCCUAUUGUUUCCCCUUCACUGGGUGAGGCAAUUGGGCAGGACUUUUACUUUGAGAAAAUUAGAGUGUUUCAAGCAGGCUAGCGCCUUGAAUACUGCAGCAUGGAAUAAUAAAAUAGGAUUUCAGUUCUAUUUUAUUGGUUCUAAGGACUGAAAUAAUAAUUAAUAGGGACAGUUGGGGGCAUUCGUAUUUAACUGUCAGAGGUGAAAUUCUUAGAUUUGUUAAAGACGAACUACUGCGAAAGCAUUUGCCAAGGAUGUUUUCAUUAAUCAAGAACGAAAGUUAGGGGAUCGAAGACGAUCAGAUACCGUCGUAGUCUUAACCAUAAACUAUGCCGACUAGAGAUUGGAGGUUUAUUUCACCAGUUUCCUUCAGCACCUUAUGAGAAAUCAAAGUCUUUGGGUUCUGGGGGGA